GACGAACGCUGGCGGCGUGCCUAAUACAUGCAAGUCGAACGCUUCCUACCGGUGCUUGCACCGGGAAAGAAGAGUGGCGGACGGGUGAGUAACACGUGGGUAACCUACCUACAAGCGGGGGAUAACAUUCGGAAACGGAUGCUAAUACCGCAUAGAUCUUUUUGUCUCCUGGCAGAAAGAAGAAAGACGGUUUCGGCUGUCACUUGUAGAUGGACCCGCGGCGCAUUAGUUAGUUGGUGAGGUAAUGGCUCACCAAGACGAUGAUGCGUAGCCGACCUGAGAGGGUGAUCGGCCACACUGGGACUGAGACACGGCCCAGACUCCUACGGGAGGCAGCAGUAGGGAAUCUUCCGCAAUGGACGAAAGUCUGACGGAGCAACGCCGCGUGAGUGAAGAAGGUUUUCGGAUCGUAAAACUCUGUUGUUAGAGAAGAACAAGGAUGAGAGUAACUGCUCGUCCCUUGACGGUAUCUAACCAGAAAGCCAUGGCUAACUACGUGCCAGCCGCCGCAGUAAAAC
rnacentral:rRNA from 1 species